AACGUAGGACGCAAGCGUUAUCCGGAGUUACUGGGCGUAAAGCGCGGGCAGGCGGCUCGCAACGUCUGAUGUGAAAUCUCCUCGCUCAACGGGGAGAGGCCAUUGGAAACGGUCGAGCUGGAGGGCAGUAGAGGUAGGCGGAAUUCCGGGUGGAGUGGUGAAAUGCGUAGAGAUCCGGAGGAACACCAGUGGCGAAGGCGACUAC
rnacentral:rRNA from 1 species